ensembl:snRNA U6 U6 spliceosomal RNA
AUGCUCGCUUCAGCAGCACGUAUACUAAAAUUGGAAUGAUACAGAGACAAUUAGCCACUGCUCAAGGAUGACAUGCAAAUUCGUGAAGCAGUCCAUAUUUUA